rnacentral:rRNA from 1 species
UUUAGUGGCGAACGGGUGCGUAACACGUGGGCAAUCUGCCUUAAAGUGGGGGAUAGCUCGGCGAAAGCCGAAUUAAUACCGCAUGUGGUCAGGGAAGACAUCUUCCCAACACCAAAGCCGGGGCAACCUGGCGCUUUUUGAUGAGCCCGCGGCCUAUCAGCUAGUUGGUGAGGUAACGGCUCACCAAGGCUAUGACGGGUAGCUGGUCUGAGAGGACGACCAGUCACACUGGAACUGAGACACGGUCCAGACACCUACGGGUGGCAGCAGUCGAGAAUUUUUCUCAAUGGGGGAAACCCUGAAGGAGCGACGCCGCGUGGAGGAUGAAGGCUUUCGGGUUGUAAACUCCUGUCAUUUGGGAACAAGGUGCACCGGUUAACUGCCGGAGUAUUGAUAGUA